GCUUUAAAAAAUCGUGUCUACGUGCAAUUUAUGUAUAGUUGACCGGGAAAUUAAAGCAGCGAUCACUUGGACUAUUCCGCAGCACCCCUCUCACAUUGGUACAUCCCUCCAGGUAUUCAUUGUCUUGUACAGUAGAGCGGGACAUUUGAUUUACUCUCAGCGGAAUUGACCGGAGAAGGCAUCAGUUCAUGCACUGCACUGGCCUGCACCAUGAUUAGUAUAAGGCACAUUUCACGAAGCAGAACGCAGUCUUCAGAGAUAUCCACGUGAACGCUGUGAUACGUCUGACCUUCAGUCCGAAGAAGAAACCCAGACCAGUCUUAAAAGAAAGCACAAACCAAAUCCCCUGUACACAUAUACGGACUCAGAGGAUGAGCAGCCCACAA